UACGUAGGGUGCGAGCGUUAAUCGGAAUUACUGGGCGUAAAGCGUGCGCAGGCGGUGAUGUAAGACAGUUGUGAAAUCCCCGGGCUCAACCUGGGAACUGCAUCUGUGACUGCAUCGCUGGAGUGCGGCAGAGGGGGAUGGAAUUCCGCGUGUAGCAGUGAAAUGCGUAGAUAUGUGGAGGAACACCGAUGGCGAAGGCAGCCCCCUGGGCUAACACUGACGCUCAGGCACGAAAGCGUGGGGAGCAAACAGG
rnacentral:rRNA from 1 species